rnacentral:rRNA from 1 species
GUGGGGAAUAUUGGACAAUGGGCGCAAGCCUGAUCCAGCCAUGCCGCGUGAGUGAUGAAGGCCUUAGGGUUGUAAAGCUCUUUCAGUAGGGAAGAUAAUGACGGUACCUACAGAAGAAGCCCCGGCUAACUUCGUGCCAGCAGCCGCGGUAAUACGAAGGGGGCUAGCGUUGUUCGGAUUUACUGGGCGUAAAGCGCACGUAGGCGGAAUGUUAAGUCAGAGGUGAAAUCCUGGAGCUCAACUCCAGAACUGCCUUUGAUACUGGCAAUCUCGAGUCCGGAAGAGGUGAGUGGAACUCCUAGUGUAGAGGUGGAAUUCGUAGAUAUUAGGAAGAACACCAGUGGCGAAGGCGGCUCACUGGUCCGGUACUGACGCUGAGGUGCGAAAGCGUGGGGAGCAAACAGGAUUAGAUACCCCGGUAGUCC